rnacentral:rRNA from 1 species
UGGGGAAUAUUGCACAAUGGAGGGAACUCUGAUGCAGCGACGCCGCGUGAGCGAAGAAGGCCUUCGGGUCGUAAAGCUCUGUCCUAUGGGACGAUAAUGACGGUACCAUAGGAGGAAGCCCCGGCUAACUACGUGCCAGCAGCCGCGGUAAUACGUAGGGGGCGAGCGUUGUCCGGAAUGACUGGGCGUAAAGGGUACGUAGGCGGCCAGGUAAGUCAGAUGUGAAAGGCAUAGGCUCAACCUGUGUAAGCAUUUGAAACUGUCUGGCUUGAGUUAAGGAGAGGAAAGUGGAAUUCCUGGUGUAGCGGUGAAAUGCGUAGAUAUCAGGAGGAAUACCAGUGGCGAAGGCGACUUUCUGGACUUAAACUGACGCUGAGGUACGAAAGCGUGGGGAGCAAAC